rnacentral:rRNA from 1 species
CCUACGGGGGGCUGCAGUGGGGAAUAUUGGACAAUGGGGGGAACCCUGAUCCAGCCAUGCCGCGUGUGUGAAGAAGGCCCUCGGGUUGUAAAGCACUUUCAGUGAGGAAGAACGCCUGGUGGUUAAUACCCAUCAGGAAAGACAUCACUCACAGAAGAAGCACCGGCUAACUCCGUGCCAGCAGCCGCGGUAAUACGGAGGGUGCGAGCGUUAAUCGGAAUUACUGGGCGUAAAGCGCGCGUAGGUGGCUUGAUAAGCCGGUUGUGAAAGCCCCGGGCUCAACCUGGGAACGGCAUCCGGAACUGUCAAGCUAGAGUGCAGGAGAGGAAGGUAGAAUUCCCGGUGUAGCGGUGAAAUGCGUAGAGAGCGGGAGGAAUACCAGUGGCGAAGGCGGCCUUCUGGACUGACACUGACACUGAGGUGCGAAAGCGUGGGUAGCAAACAGGAUUAGAUACCCGAGUAGUC